rnacentral:rRNA from 1 species
GACGUAGGGCGCAAGCGUUGUCCGGAUUUAUUGGGCGUAAAGAGCUCGUAGGCGGCUUGUCGCGUCGACUGUGAAAACCCGCGGCUCAACCGCGGGCCUGCAGUCGAUACGGGCAGGCUAGAGUUCGGUAGGGGAGACUGGAAUUCCUGGUGUAGCGGUGAAAUGCGCAGAUAUCAGGAGGAACACCUAUUGCGAAGGCAGCUCGCUGGGACGUAACUGACGCUGAGACGCGAAAGCGUGGGGAGCAAACAGG